rnacentral:lncRNA from 10 species
CACGUUGCAGUGCCUGCCCCAGAGAGAACUGCAUGGACCAGGUUUUUAUUAUGUCGAUCAUGCUUCAAUAAGGUGGUUUUUUAAAAAAGUCUGCUGAAAGCUGGAAGCGGCCACUUCAACAUCACCCUCAGAAUGGAGCAUACUCAAGGGGAAGCCAAGCUGGAGUACAGAACAAGGAAAAGACUUGGUCUCAUCUGAAUCCAUGAACGCAGCUCUGUCUGAAAGUGAUUCUUCUGGAAUUUUCAAUGACUGGAG